rnacentral:tRNA from 1 species
CAGAGUGUAGUUUAUAUUUAAAAUUUUAACUUUGGAAGUUAACGUUAAUUUCUUAAUUUUCUCUGA